UCAGCCUCCUGAGUAGCUGGGAUUACAGGUGUGAGCCACCGACCUGGCCGUUCUCAGGAUUCUCUAAGUUGUUCAUAGUUCCAGAGUUACAUUUGCUUUUUUCUUGGCAAUUUUAUUUUAUUAACCAGUUGGGUGUCCUCCAAUUCAAUUCCGACACUGUCUACCUGGAGAUAGUGUCAGAUCCCAGGGGUUGGGGGCUCAGUCCCCAAGACCACCACCCCCUUCACAAACCAGUCCCAAGUCCAGGCCUUUGGAACUUCUGAUCGACUGGCUUCAAGAUGGGGUUUCUCCACUAUAGAAAGUAAAAAGUUCCUCUUCAAAGUUUCCCUUCUUGUUAAAUAAUAAAUCUUAAGUGUUAUAAAUGAUAGUUUCUUUUAAAGACUAACUUCCUUCAAGCCUCCUUGCUUUGUGCUAAUAAUUCUUUGUUAAGCCCUAACCUAUGUAGCUGUUAGAUAUAAGGGAAUAAGUACAUUCAAUGUCCUUGUACUUUAACCAAGAUGUCUGUGCUGGGCUUGCUCACGGGCAUGUCCCAGCUCGCAGCCUAUGCCCCUUCCUUAUUUGGGAAUUUUUAUUACUUUUCUAAAUCUUUUCGUAAGCAACUUCCUCUUUUCCUUUGUUCUCCAUUGCCUCUACCUAUUUAAGAAAAUUUUAAAUUUCUGGCCAGUCGAGUUAAGUUUAGAUUGUGCGGUCUGGCUCCAGCCAAUGGAGGCAAGACACAGUAGCAGGGACAAGCUGCGUAAGGGAUAAAAAUUGCUUCCCUCCUUUAUUCAGGUGUGUUAGAUACAAAGAAUAAACUUCCCAUGCCCCCAUUAAAAAAAAAAAAAAGGAAAAUUAAAAUGCUGGAUAGAAUACAUGAAACAUUUGUUUUAUUUUAUUUAUUUAUUUAUUUAUUUAUUUUUUAGAUGGAGACUCACUCUGUUCCCCAGGCUGGAGUGCAGUGGCAUGAUCUCAACUCAUUGCAACCUCUGCCUCCUGGGAUUGAGCAAUUCUCCUGCCUCGGCCUCCCAGGUAGCUGGGACUACAGGUGUGCACCACCACGCCUGGCUAAUUUUUGCAUUUGUAGUAGAGAUGGGUUUUCACCAUGUUGGCCAGGCUGGUCUCGAAAUUCUAACCUCAAGUGAUCCUCCCGCCUCAGCCUCCCAAAGUGCUGGGAUUAUAUGCAUGAGCCAUCUAGCCCGGCAAAACAUUUGCUUAAAUACAAGCCUGGGUUCAUAGCCCAGACUCAAACUACCUAUUGAUAGGAGACAAGAGAGUGUUCAUGAGUCUCUCACAUUUCUGCCCAUCUGGUGAGCAGCAGUACUAACUGCCUUUGUUCCACACUAUGUUUUUACCAAGUUGUAUAGCAAGCAGGCUUGGAAGAUAAAGAUGGUAUAUCCCUCCAGACCAGGGGGCAGAUAUGCUUACAGCAUUGGAAGACAGGGAUAAUGACUAUCUAUGCUGGGGAGAAAAAGGCAGCAGGCUUAAUGUCCAUUAUAAAACAUUCUUGUUCUCUAAAUUUGGGGAUCCUUUCCUAUAACACAACCCUCUGCAUAUACAGAUGUCACCUGCCCCACUUUGUGUUUGGGACUUGGAGAACCAACACAAAUGCUGACACUCUGACUACUGCUAUUGCUUUGAGUAAUAAACUGUCAUUUGUCUCUGACCAAAGAGUAGCUUAGCAGUAAUAGUAGUAGUAGUCGUUUUCUGCCAACAUUCAAGCAACUGUGGCAGGCUAACCAUGGCAGAGUAGAAUCUCAGACCCUUCAUAGUUUUUAAUGUCUAUGUGGUCCCAAACACUUUAUGAUGAAAAUUAAGUUGGUCUUAGGUUGGUAGUGCCCUAGACAGCUAGUAUAAGGAAAAGAAAAUCCUCUCUGGAAGAACACCCUUCAACCUAGACCUCAAACAAUUCCCACAGAUAUUGAACCAAAACUUUUAGUCAAAAGUCAAAAAACCACCAGGUGUGGUGGUUCACACCUGUAAUCCCAGCAAUUUGGGAGGCCGAGGGGGAUGGAUCACAAGGUCAGGAGUUCGAGACCAGCCUGGACAAUAUCAUGAAACCCCGUCUCUAC
rnacentral:lncRNA from 10 species